rnacentral:rRNA from 1 species
GAUGAACGCUAGCGGCAGGCUUAAUACAUGCAAGUCGAGGGGCAGCAUGGUGUAGCAAUACACUGAUGGCGACCGGCAAACGGGUGCGGAACACGUACAGAACCUUCCUUCGAGCGGGGAAUAGCCCAGAGAAAUUUGGAUUAAUACCCCAUAGUAUAUUGGAGUGGCAUCACUUUGUAAUUAAAGAUUUAUCACUUGAAGAUGGCUGUGCGGCUGAUUAGGUAGUUGGCGGGGUAACGGCCCACCAAGCCCACGAUCAGUAACUGGUGUGAGAGCACGACCAGUCACACGGGCACUGAGACACGGGCCCGACUCCUACGGGAGGCAGCAGUAAGGAAUAUUGGUCAAUGGACGAAAGUCUGAACCAGCCAUGCCGCGUGGAGGAUGAAGGUCCUCUGGAUUGUAAACUUCUUUUAUAUGGGACGAAAAAAGGCUUUUCUAAGUCGUCUGACGGUACCAUAUGAAUAAGCACCGGCUAACUCCGUGCCAGCAGCCGCGGUAACAC